AGCAAAAAAGAAUUAAAAAAUAAACAAAAGGAGAGAGAAGAAGAAGAGAGAGAAAGAGCUUCGUCCGGUCCUGACGAACCAUCUUGCCAAAAUCAGAAUUCUUGCUCUCUUGUCUUCCUUUCUCAAACCCUAAAACGGACAAAUUCCAAUUCCAGUUUGCUCCCCGGAGACCGGCUACCUGCCACCGUGUUCCACCACCACCGUCGCCGCCGCCGCCACACACUUCUACUCAAACCACUUGAUCGUUGCCUCGACUUCAAAAUUCAUCGUCGGCUGCGUUUGCCCCCUAAAAUUUGGAUAUUUUGUUGUGUUUCUGUUGACUUUGGAGGUGAUGGUUCUGAAGCUAAUUCACCCGCCAUCGUCGUCCUUCUGAGUCCAUUCCAGGAAUUUUUUUCAAGUUGUUUCUCCUCAUCAUGUAUCAUGCUAAGAAAUUUUCAACUGCGAGCUUAGUUCCACAUAAAUCUCAAGGUGCCGAACAAAGUGCAAGUGUUGCGGUUCUUGGUGGAUCUACAGCCAAAAGUCCAAUGCCACCUGGGGGAGGUGGAAAACAACGGUUGCGGUGGACAUCUGAUCUUCACGACCGUUUUGUGGAUGCCAUCACACAACUUGGUGGACCAGAUAGUGGGUAUUUUCUUUUUAGUGAUGUUAUUGUGCAUUUUCUUUCAUCUUAAUUUUCAGGAUUAGAAAAGGGGAAAAUAUUGAAUGAAGCCAUGCAACAAUUUCUUCUCCGUACUAGCUUGAUUAAAUGUGGUUCUAUGCACAUUUGUAGGCUAGAUGUUAUUUGAUGAGUUCAAGGGGGUUUGAAAUGAAGUAGUGUAGUAGAAGAGUUUACAAGGCACAACUCGGAAGUUGAUAUACGUAUAGUCUUGAGUAUUAAAUGUGGUUCUGUGGUCCUAUGUUGAGGGGCUUGAGGUGUGCGCAAAUUGGGUCCGGAGACUUGCUAGAUGCCUUUAUUUUUAUGUUGCAAAGCCAAAAGAAACCAUGAAUUAGGGGAAAAAAAGGAGUGCAUGCUUACAUUCUUGUGUUACCAAGAUCCCUAGGGGAUUGAAAAGCAUUCUUCUAGGUCAUUUAUUAUUGUAAAUGCAAUCAGUAUUACUUUGGUAAGAAACAACUCCCCCUAUAUGUAAUAAUGCUUCACUAGUACCGAGCUUAUGAAAAGCUAUCGUAUGGUAUCAACACGGAAGGAAACUAGCUACAAAAUAUAGGUUUCUGUAAGAGGAGAGUAAUCUUGGCGUUGAUGAAGCAUUGUUUGCAUUGGAAUAUGUUUAUGAGAUAACUUUUAACUUUUACUUU